UACGUAGGUGGCAAGCGUUGUCCGGAUUUACUGGGCGUAAAGAGCGCGCAGGCGGCUGGUCAAGUCCGAUGUGAAAGCUCCCGGCUUAACUGGGAAACGGCAUCGGAAACUGAUCGGCUUGAAGGUGGGAGAGGGUAGUGGAAUUCCCGGUGUAGCAGUGAAAUGCGUAGAGAUCGGGAGGAACACCAGUGGCGAAGGCGGCCUUCUGGACCAAUACUGACGCUCAUGCACGAAAGCGUGGGGAGCAAACAGG
rnacentral:rRNA from 1 species